AUUGAACGCUGGCGGCAGGCCUAACACAUGCAAGUCGAACGAGUGGCGGACGGGUGAGUAAUGUGUGGGAAACUGCCCGGGGGAGGGGGAUAACCACUGGAAACUGUAGCUUAUACCGCAUACCAUCGGAUGAGCCCAGAUGGUAUUAGCUAGUAGGUGGGGUAACGGCUCACCUAGGCGACGAUCCCUAGCUGGUCUGAGAGGAAGACCAGCCACACUGGAACGGAGACACGGUCCAGACUCCUACGGGAGGCAGCAGUGGGGAAUAUUGCACAAUGGGCGCAAGCCUGAUGCAGCCAUGCCGCGUGUAUGAAGAAGGCCUUCGGGUUGUAAAGUACUUUCAGCGGGGAGGCGUUACUCGCAGAAGAAGCACCGGCUAACUCCGUGCCAGCCGCCGCGGUAAUAC
rnacentral:rRNA from 1 species